rnacentral:miRNA from 1 species
UGAUGAUGAUGAUGAUGAUGAUGAUGGUGAUGACGAUGAUUGUGAUUGUGAUGACGAUGGAGAUGAUGGAAAUGAUGAUCAUCGUCCUCGUCCUCGUCCUCGUCCUCGUCC